CGCGUAGGCGGACAUUUAAGUCAGGGGUGAAAUCCCGGGGCUCAACCCCGGAACUGCCUUUGAUACUGGGUGUCUUGAGUAUGAGAGAGGUGUGUGGAACUCCGAGUGUAGAGGUGAAAUUCGUAGAUAUUCGGAAGAACACCAGUGGCGAAGGCGACACACUGGCUCAUUACUGACGCUGAGGCGCGAAAGCGUGGGGAGCAAACA
rnacentral:rRNA from 1 species